rnacentral:rRNA from 1 species
UACGUAGGGUGCAAGCGUUGGUCCGGAAUUAUUGGGCGCAAAGAGCUGCGUAGGCGGUCUGUCGCGUCGGCUGUGAAAACCCGGGGCUCAACCCCGGGCCCUGCAGUCGAUACGGGCAGACUAGAGUGUGGUAGGGGAGACUGGAAUUCCUGGUGUAGCGGUGAAAUGCGCAGAGUAUCAAGGAGGAACACCGGUGGCGAAGG